UACAGAGGGGGGCAAGCGUUGUUCGGAAUUACUGGGCGUAAAGGGCGCGUAGGCGGCCUGUUAAGUCGAACGUGAAAUUCCCGGGCUCAACCCGGGAACUGCGUCCGAUACUGGCAGGCUUGAAUUCGGGAGAGGGAUGCGGAAUUCCAGGUGUAGCGGUGAAAUGCGUAGAGAUCGGGAGGAACAUCAGUGGCGAAGGCGGCCUUCUGGACCAGUACUGACGCUGAGGCACGAAAGCGUGGGGAGCGAACAGGG
rnacentral:rRNA from 1 species